GUUUUUGGGUGAUGAGAACAUAUAUAUUACAGUUAUCCCUGGCUGAUUAAUUGUGAUGACAAUAUGUGAUCUGACAUAAAC